GACGAACGCUGGCGGCGUGCUUAACACAUGCAAGUCGUACGGUAAGGCCCUUUCGGGGGUACACGAGUGGCGAACGGGUGAGUAACACGUGAGUAACCUGCCCACAACUUUGGGAUAACGCUAGGAAACUGGUGCUAAUACUGGAUAUGUGCUCCUGCUGCAUGGUGGGGGUUGGAAAGCUCCGGCGGUUGUGGAUGGACUCGCGGCCUAUCAGCUUGUUGGUGGGGUAGUGGCCUACCAAGGCGGCGACGGGUAGCCGGCCUGAGAGGGUGACCGGCCACAUUGGGACUGAGAUACGGCCCAGACUCCUACGGGAGGCAGCAGUGGGGAAUAGUGCACAAUGGGCGCAAGCCUGAUGCAGCAACGCCGCGUGCGGGAUGACGGCCUUAGGGUUGUAAACCGCUUUCAGCAGGGACGAAGCUUUUUGUGACGGUACCUGCAGAAGAAGCACCGGCUAACUACGUG
rnacentral:rRNA from 1 species